CAGGGAGACUAAACUGAUUGUGAUGUCUGAGUUAAAUAUUCUUAGGCCACAAUCCUGUCACCUUAGGUCGAUCGGUACCUCAGUUUGAUUUUUAAUUAAAUAUUGAACAUUCAUUAUUUAAUUCGAAAUCAUUUUUAGUUCCUAAACUUGUCUAGGUCACACCCAAAUGGUUCUCCUGGGCCAUUAGCUCAGGUGGUUAGAGCGCACCCCUGAUAAGGGUGAGGUCCCUGGUUCAAGUCCAGGAUGGCCCAUUCGGUGUUGGGGGGGUAUAGCUCAGUUGGUAGAGCGCCUGCUUUGCAAGCAGGAUGUCAGCGGUUCGAGUCCGCUUACCUCCACUGAAUAACCACCAGAUAUACCAACCCGAUGGAGAUAUUUUGAAUGUGAUUUAGAUGUUGUUUUUCUGAAUAGACCCUAGCUUUCUAUCAUUCCCUAUUUUUUAUAAUUGGUUGAUAACAAGCUGGGCUCUCUGAAGUUCUUAUGAAUUUCAGCGAUGUUCAGUAGAACCUUGACAACUGCAUAGAUUAGUCUGGAAAGAAUAAAGCAUCUCAUAGAUGCAUAAUUCUUUUAGUUUAGAUAUUGGAUAUUGAAUUAAUCAGUAUUCUUUUCUGAAUUAAUAGGAUUAAUGUUUAAUUCUAUAAUUAAGAGCCGAUACUCUAUAACUUUAUUUUGAACUUUUUAGUUAAUAAUAAAAGUUAUAUGAGUUUGAU
rnacentral:tRNA from 1 species